GGCUGGUCUGAUGGUUAUGGGUUAUCAGAACUUAUAGUGCCACUAAAGUUGGUAUACAACCUCCUCACUGCUAAAUUUGACUGGAAAA
rnacentral:Y_RNA from 1 species